rnacentral:lncRNA from 1 species
UCAUCGAAAACUUCUUGUCAACACUUCACAAAUACAUGGUCAUUAUAUUAUUAACAAAUGUUACAUAUGCUAAUGAAUUACUAUUAUUUAUUCCCUCUAGUCAAUAUUAUAAGCAAAAAUAAAAUAAAAUAAAACUUACAUCGAUUGUAAACAAAAAACAACAACUUUUGAAUCAUUUAAUGCUACUUUUAUUAAUACACCUUUCAUUGAUUUCAAAGUAUUUAACAUUGAUAAUCGAAUGUUUAACAUUUAAAAAUGCUAAUUUAUAAAAUUUGACCUGUAUUUUACAUAAAAACUAAAAAAUUAACUACAGUUCACAACAUUUUUUUAAUACCUGUGAACGUUUUUUUCUUCUUAUAAUAAUGACCCAAGGGAGUAGGUUUCAUCUAUUAAGGAAGAAGUUUGUUUGGGGAUCUAAAUAUGUGGUUCUCAAACUCCAGCCCAAUUUUUCACUUGCAAGAGAUAAAAGACUUGCAUAAUUGUAAGCAAAUAGGUAUUACAUCUUUUUGUCUCAAAGUGACCUUAGGCUUGCUUACCAACCAUUGCGAACCAAUUUGUACUCUCUUUUGUGUUUCAAU